UCGAAAAUUACCAUUUGAAUUGGAAAAACGGGGCCGUUUCAGAAAAACUAUUCAUUGCCUUCUUCCUCAGAAACUGUUUCAGCAGUGAAGACGUUUCAGCAGUAAAAGUACUAAAUUGUUUCAGUUAUGGGGCACGUCUCACGGCUACUAUCCCUCCCCCCACGAUGCAUGCCGUUACCAGCACAAGGCAUUCUCUGGCCUUAUAAAAGCCAGAGAAACGCCACGAACCGGGGCAGGGACGAAAAAAAAAUGACAGGAACGAAGAGAAAAAAAAGAAACAGAGAACAGAGGGGACGACUGGAGAAGCAAACGAGACAGAAACAGGGGAAGAGAACAAAAAGACAGCGUACCCCAGCUUCGCCUUCGUCUUCAGAACACAAACACAGUAGGCAAACGAAAACAGAGAGACUAGAACACAAAAACAAAAGACCAGAGACAGAGGACGGACGAGCAGAAAAACCAGAGGAGAAAACGCGAAAAAAAAACCCGUAGAGAGAGAGGAAAGCCCAGGAAAUAGACACACAGAGGGAACAAGAGAACAACACAGAAAGACGAACCAGAAUAGCAGGACUGUUAUUCCCCUGUUUCUUCUCAAAGAAACAGGGGAACGCGUGAGAACAAGAAGACAGGGACGAAAGAAAAGGAACAAACACGGGGGAGGAGGACUAGGGAGCACAUAACAGAGGAAACCAGAGGAGAAUUUCGCCUCCAGCAACGCCUGCAAAUCAGGGGCUGGAAACAGAUUCAGAAUCAUUACUGACCACAUGUUUAAGGAGUGGAGCGAGCUGCAGACAUUGAACCAGACUCUGGAAAUGAGAUUUUUUGAUGACUUCAAGCAAAUCAAGUGUGCCCACGAGCUUUCUCAGAAGCGGAAAAAAAAAACCCGGAGAACGAACUGGCAUGAGAUUGAUCUUAGUGCACAUGUGGCUGCCUAUUUUGAUGCUUCCACAUGCCUGAAACUGGUUUUGGAAGAGCUAAUGUAUACUAGGGUUAGCAAUAAUUUAAAAGGAGAAGCAGGUAUAUGAUCAUAAACGUAGCAUAGUGUCAUGAAAAUGAAAUUAGCCUAAAGGACAAGAUCUCCUUGGAGCACAAACCAAAAGGGCUAGAUUUUCAACAUUAAGUAAGUGGUGAUCUCUCAGUCCAAGCGUCCCUUGCACAAUCAUUUGUUCCUCUCAUAUCUAAUUAUUGCUAUACAAAAUCACACAAGUGGAUGGCCAUCACAUUCACAUCCAAACACCGAAAUACUUAGAGAGAUUAGCCUCUUGCCUACAGGGGACCCAUAUUACGUUUCUUGCAGUUUAAUAAAGGAAACGAAAAAUGCAAAAAUGCAAGUCCAUUGCAUCCACCUAGAAGCAUCCAUGGGAUCGAGGAUACUUCCUAUGGUACUUCAUCUCUGUUAGCUGCUUAUAAAGAGAAGCAAUUGUGGUGCUUCUUGCUCGCAAGUCCUUUCACAACAGACAACGAUUUGAUGCUAGAUCAGACCAUCUUUUGUCCCAUUCUAUGCUGUUAUGUACAGAUGGCUGUAUUAAUCACAAUGAAAAUUAAUAUAAUAUGCAUCUCUUGUCAUA